AUGGCCUUGUCCCCUCUGUGCCACAUGCUCCUCUCUCAUUGCACAGGAUCCUGGGCCCAGUCUGUGCUGACUCAGCCACAAUCAGUGUCUGGGAACCUGGGCCAGAGGGUCUCCCUCUCCUGCACUGGAAGCAGCUCCAACAUUGGGACUUAUAGUGUGGCCUGGCUCCAACAGCUCCCAGGAACAGCCCCCAAACUCCUGAUACAUGGUACCAGCAAUCGACCUGCGGGGGUCCCUGAUCGAUUCUCUGGCUCUAAGUCUGGCAGCUCAGCCACCCUGACCAUGGUUGUACUCCAGCCUGACGACAAGGCUGAUUAUUACUGCCAGAACUAUGACUACAGUGUCAGUGCCCCCCCUUGCUCCAGGCCUGUGGGGACAUGA